CGGGCCUUUUUAGUGGCAAACGGGCGAGUAACACAUAUUUAACUUGCUCAUCCGAGGAGAAUAGCAGCCCGAAAGGGCUAUUAAUACGCCAUAGCUUUAAAUUAGUGAAUUAAUUUAAAUUAAAGGAGGCUGCCGAAAGGUGGCCUCGCGGAUGAAUAGGAAUAUGUCCUAUUAGGUCGUUGGAGAGGUAAUGGCUCACCAAGCCGAUGAUGGGUAGCUGGACUGAGAGGUUGAACAGCCGCAAUGGGAUUGAGAAAUGGCCCAUAUUCCUACGGGAAGCAGCAGUGAGGAAUUUUUCACAAUGGACGAAAGUCUGAUGGAGCAAUACCACGUGAACGAUGAAGGUCUUCUGAUUGUAAAGUUCUUUUAUUUAGGAAAAAAAGCGCGGCAGGAAAUGGCCGCGCCUUGAUUGUACUAAUUGAAUAAGUGACAGCUAACUAUGUGCCAGCAGCUGCGGUAAAACAUAGGUCACGAGCAUUAUCCGGAUUUAUUGGGCGUAAAGGAAGCGUAGGCUGAAAUGUGUAUUCAUUGUUAAAAAUAUUUGCUUAACAAGUGUUCGCGGUGAAGAUUACAUUUCUAGAAUUAGUUAGAGGGUACUGGAAUUCAAUGUGUAGUGGUGGAAUACGUAGAUAUAUUGAGGAACACCAGAGGCUAAGGCGAGUGCCUGGAACAUAAUUGACGCUGAGGCUUGAAAGCGUGGGUAGCAAAUGGGAUUAGAUACCCCAGUAGUCCACGCCGUAAACGAUGGGUAUUAGUCAUUUGGAUUUAAGACUGAGUGAUGUAGCUAACGCGUUAAAUACCCCGCCUGGGUAGUAUAUAUGCAAAUAUGAAA
rnacentral:rRNA from 1 species